rnacentral:lncRNA from 1 species
AAAUUUUUUCUUUGGACUCAUUCAGCUCUUUGUUUCUCCAAUCAUCACAUGUAAUGGGAAUUUCAUUCCUUACUAGUGCACCGAUAAAACUAGUUAAGGUAUGCCCAUUAGGUUCUAUAAGUUGUCCCUGGUUGUUCCAAUAGACAUCUAGUAUGAUGCCUCGAGAUCUUCCUUGGACCACCCUUCUCAUUACUGUGAUGCCUCUUCGAAUUUCUUCUUCCGCGGAUACUUUUUUACUAACUUCCUCAUGUUGGUCAUCAGCCAUGUCUAACCUGUAAUAAACCAAGGAAACCAUCAAAUAUCAAAUAUAACUUAUAAUCAAAGCAAUUGAAAACAAAAAAAUAAAGAAAUCAUGCAUUAUCAGAUAUAACUUAUAAUCAAAGCAAUUGAAAACAAAAAUAUAAUGAAAUCAUGCAUUAUCACAUAUAACUUAUAAU